CUCUCGUAAAUCCAUUACUGCAACUUUAUAGUUGCCAACGACGAAAGCUACGCCCUAGCAGCCUAAGAGCUUGCUAGCGAUUACCGCCGGGAUGCCCGUAAACUGGUAUUUGGUAAUCGUCAUCUAGAACGGGAUCGCCAGUGGAACGCGCUUGACGUGAAGCGGCUAAAUAGUAUCAAGCUCGCCCAAUUCACCCUGCCCGUCGGGCCGAUGAGGGUUAACCUAGUAGACGACGCUAUGCAUGUAGAGCCGAA
rnacentral:tmRNA from 14 species